GUCCACGCCGUAAACGAUGUCUACUAGUUGUCGGGUCUCUUGCAGACUUGGUAACGAAGCUAACGCGAUAAGUAGACCGCCUGGGGAGUACGGCCGCAAGGUUAAAACUCAAAUGAAUUGACGGGGGCCCGCACAAGCGGUGGAGCAUGUGGUUUAAUUCGAAGCAACGCGAAGAACCUUACCUGGCCUUGACAUCGUGCGAAUCUUUUAGAGAUAAGAGAGUGCCUUCGGGAGCGCAUGGACAGGUGCUGCAUGGCU
rnacentral:rRNA from 1 species